UGUGUAGGCGGACCGUUAAGUGCCUUGUAAAAUCCCACGGCUCAACCGUGGAACGUCUGGGCAGACUGGCGGUUCUUGAGCCAUCCAGGGGCAACCGGAACAAACGGUGGAGCGGUGAAAUGCGUAGAUAUCGUUUGGAACGCCAACGGUGAAAACAGGUUGCUGGGGAUGUGCUGACGCUGAGACACGAAAGCCAGGGGAGCAAACGGGAUUAGAUACCCCGGUAGUCCUGGCCCUAAACGAUGUCCGCUGGAUCGCAGGCUCUUGACGGGCUUGCGGUCGCAGCCAAAGUGCUAAGUGGACCGCCUGGGAAGUACGGUCGCAAGGCUAAA
rnacentral:rRNA from 1 species